GACGAACGCUGGCGGCGUGCUUAACACAUGCAAGUCGAACGGAAAGGCCCUGCUUUUGUGGGGUGCUCGAGUGGCGAACGGGUGAGUAACACGUGAGUAACCUGCCCUUGACUUUGGGAUAACUUCAGGAAACUGGGGCUAAUACCGGAUAGGAGCUCCUGCUGCAUGGUGGGGGUUGGAAAGUUUCGGCGGUUGGGGAUGGACUCGCGGCUUAUCAGCUUGUUGGUGGGGUAGUGGCUUACCAAGGCUUUGACGGGUAGCCGGCCUGAGAGGGUGACCGGCCACAUUAGGACUGAGAUACGGCCCAGACUACUACGGGAGGCAGCAGUGGGGAAUAUUGCACAAUGGGCGGAAGCCUGAUGCAGCAACGCCGCGUGCGGGAUGACGGCCUUCGGGUUGUAAACCGCUUUCGCGUGUGACGAAGCGUGAGUGACGGUAAUGGGUAAAGAAGCACCGGCUAACUACGUG
rnacentral:rRNA from 1 species